rnacentral:rRNA from 1 species
UACGAAGGGGGCUAGCGUUGCUCGGAUUCAUUGGGCGUAAAGGGUGCGUAGGCGGUCGCGCAAGUCGGAUGUGAAAUCUUGGGGCUCAACCCCGAAACUGCAUUCGAUACUGCGUGGCUCGAGUACUGGAGAGGAGACUGGAAUUUACGGUGUAGCAGUGAAAUGCGUAGAUAUCGUAAGGAAGACCAGUGGCGAAGGCGAGUCUCUGGACAGUUACUGACGCUGAGGCACGAAGGCCAGGGGAGCAAACGGG